AAGUCAUCAUCUAAUAAAAUAAAUUUUAAGAAAACCCCUACCUCGUUCGCAAUUCAACUACGCGACAAACUGCAUUUCUAUUCUUAUCCCACAGCAACAGCAUUAAUACCGACCGUCCCCGCAGUAGCCACAGCCUUAGCUCAAUCCUAAAACAUUAAUGUCACGUAAAACUCAAUAAU